AGAGUUUGAUCCUGGCUCAGAAUGAACGUUGGCGGCGUGGAUUAGGCAUGCAAGUCGAGCGACAAGUCUUUUCUUGCUUGCAAGAAUCGAUGGAGGAGCGGCAAACGGCGUAGUAAAGCGUAGGUUACGUGCCCCCGGGACCAGGACAGCCGCGGGAAACUGCGGGUAAUACUGGAUGAUCUCUUCGGAGCAAAUGGUGCGAUUCCGCCCAGGGAGCGGCUUACGUGGUAUUAGGUUGUUGGUGAGGUAACGGCUCACCAAGCCUUCGAUGCCUAGGGGGUGUGAGAGCAUGGCCCCCACGACUGGAACUGAGACACUGCCCAGACACCUACGGGUGGCUGCAGUCGAGAAUCUUCGGCAAUGGACGCAAGUCUGACCGAGCGACGCCGCGUGCGGGUAUGAAGGCCCUUGGGUUGUAAACCGCUGUCAGAGGGGAUGAAAUUCCAGAGGGCUAUCCCUCC
rnacentral:rRNA from 1 species